rnacentral:tRNA from 1 species
UCCCUGGUAGUAUAUCGGUUAGUACACGCGCCUGUCAUUGUGCUUGACCUUUCGCGCGAAAGCUGGGUUCGACUCCCAGCCAGGGAG